UGGSSKCUAAUACAUGCAGUCGAACGCACAGCGAAAGGUGCUUGCACCUUUCAAGUGAGUGGCGAACGGGUGAGUAACACGUGGACAACCUGCCUCAAGGCUGGGGAUAACAUUUGGAAACAGAUGCUAAUACCGAAUAAAACUUAGUGUCGCAUGACACAAAGUUAAAAGGCGCUUCGGCGUCACCUAGAGAUGGAUCCGCGGUGCAUUARUUAGUUGGUGGGGUAAAGGCCUACCAAGACAAUGAUGCAUAGCCGAGUUGAGAGACUGAUCGGCCACAUUGGGACUGAGACACGGCCCAAACUCCUACGGGAGGCUGCAGUAGGGAAUCUUCCACAAUGGGCGAAAGCCUGAUGGAGCAACGCCGCGUGUGUGAUGAAGGCUUUCGGGUCGUAAAGCACUGUUGUAUGGGAAGAACAGCUAGAAUAGGAAAUGAUUUUAGUUUGACGGUACCAUACCAGAAAGGGACGGCUAAAUACGUGCCAGCMGCCGCSGGUAAUACAA
rnacentral:rRNA from 1 species